rnacentral:ncRNA from 1 species
GCGUUGAAGCGAAAGGUUGCUACAUGUAUAUGUAGGUUUUUUCGUGGAGUAUGUCCGAUUUUAAACCGGGCGAC